UACGUAGGGGGCAAGCGUUGUCCGGAAUUACUGGGCGUAAAGAGCUCGUAGGCGGUCUGUCGCGUCGAUCGUGAAAACUUGGGGCUUAACCCUGAGCUUGCGGUCGAUACGGGCAUGACUGGAGUUCGGCAGGGGAGACUGGAAUUCCUGGUGUAGCGGUGAAAUGCGCAGAUAUCAGGAGGAACACCGGUGGCGAAGGCGGGUCUCUGGGCCGAUACUGACGCUGAGGAGCGAAAGCGUGGGGAGCGAACAGG
rnacentral:rRNA from 1 species